rnacentral:rRNA from 1 species
UAGUGCGUUUGAUCCUGGCUCAGGAUGAACGCUGGCGGUCUGCUUAACACAUGCAAGUCGAACGGAGUAGCAAUACUUAGUGGCGGACGGGUGAGUAACGCGUGAGAAUCUGCCUUCUGGUCGGGGACAACCACUGGAAACGGUGGCUAAUACCGGAUAUGCCUAUGGGUGAAAGAUUAAUUGCCAGAAGAAGAGCUCGCGUCUGAUUAGCUAGUUGGAGAGGUAAAGGCUCACCAAGGCAUCGAUCAGUAGCUGGUCUGAGAGGACGAUCAGCCACACUGGGACUGAGACACGGCCCAGACUCCUACGGGAGGCAGCAGUGGGGAAUUUCCGCAAUGGGGCGAAAGCCUGACGGAGCAAGACCGCGUGAGGGGAGGAAGGCUCUUGGGGUUGUAAACCGUCUUUUGUCAGGGAAGAAGAAAGUGACGGUACCUGAAAGAAUCAGCAUCGGCUAACUCCGUGCCAGCAGCCGCGGUAAUCUGA